rnacentral:misc_RNA from 1 species
GAUGAAGAACGUAGCGAAAUGCGAUAAGUAAUGUGAAUUGCAGAAUUCAGUGAAUCAUCGAAUCUUUGAACGCACAUUGCGCCCGUCAGUAUUCUGGCGGGCAUGCCUGUUCGAGCGUCAUUACGCCCCUCAAGUCCCCUGUGGACUUGGUGUUGGGGAUCGGCGAGGCUGGUUUUCCAGCACAGCCGUCCCUUAAAUUAAUUGGCGGUCCCGCCGUGGCCCUCCUCUGCGCAGUAGUAAAACACUCGCAACAGGAGCCCGGCGCGGUCCACUGCCGUAAAACCCCCCAACUUUUUAUAGUUGACCUCGAAUCAGGUAGGACUACCCGCUGAACUUAAGCAUAUCAAUAAGCGGAGGA